UGUGACUGUGGCUCAAUGGUAGAGCACUUGCCUAGCAUGUAUGAGGCACUGGAUUUGAUUCCCAGCACCAUAU
rnacentral:tRNA from 1 species